ensembl:lncRNA
GGGGUUGGUGGCUCGCUUCCUGCAGCGCUCCAAACGGAACCUGGCGUCCGCCGCAGAGAAUUCUGGGAACAUGGGACAGGGUCAGAAAAGGAGAGGCGGGGUGGAGGGCAACGGGACAGGCCAUCUCCCUUUAGAGCAGGUGUUACGUAACUCCUGGGGGGCCAGCCAGGGAUCCCACCCGCCACACCCUCAUCACCGUGGUCACCACCACUCCCAUAGCGACAGCCGCCACAACCGCCGUCAUAGCAACCAACCCCCUGUGACGGAGGGGAUCCACUUGCGCAGCUGUGGCGACUUAAGCUCCUCCUCCUCUGCGUCGCUAUGGCGAUUACUGACGGCCAACCCCCCACGGGUCAUCGGGGGCACUGUACACAGAGUCAGCCCUGUAAGAGGGGGGGGCACUGUACACAGAGUCAGCCCUGUAAGAGGGGGAGGAGGGAGGAAAGAUGGGAUGGGGAGGAAAAGGAGAGGAGGCAGAAAGUGUACCCACACAGAGGAGAGUGGAGGCAUGGUAUGGUCUAAUGAAGAAGAGAUACAAAGGGAGGAGGAGAAGUGGAGGAUGGUAGGAUGAGUUAGACAGGGGAGAGGAAGGAUGAAGGAACAGGCUACUGACAUAUCCUGAUGGGCGGUGGAAGGAGUCAGCACUAUGAGGAGGGAACGACUGGACAUUUGCUACAGCCUUGUUCCAAUACUUUCAACAUGCAUCCUACCGCUUUCCCUUCCUCCUUCCCCUUGGAGCCCUCCUCUGCACCUGCGCCUGGCCUUCCUUUCCUGAACUUUGACCUCUCAACUAACCUCCUUCCUUCAACCUUCACCUAGCCAUACUGAACACAACUCUCUGGGAUCUCUCUUUAACUUCAAGACUAGAGAGGAUGGAGAGAAGGAGUAGGAUAAUGAAGUUUCCCCUAGACUCUGAGCUACGGUCAGUUUAGUGUUUCUCCUCCUAAUGGUUAAGGUUAGGAUCAGUGGAGCAUAAGCUGAUCCUAGAUCUGUGUCUAAGGUAAACACUUUUCUGGAGCUGUGAACAUCACUCUUACACGAACCGCAUACACUCAUUAAACUGCUCACUCUUUUUCAAAACUCAAAUGUACGUUCAUUUGUCCAGCUCUUCAUCCGGAGCGAAACUCACUUUAAGUGUUCAUGAAAUUCACCUUUUUGUCUUCCACUCGUGAAAUGGUUAACCUUCCUUUUCUCCUGAUGACACUGUAAAAUGUACAGAAAAAUGUACACUCGUUUUGCCCACUGACAGUGAAAGUUUAAUGGCCUGCUAGUGUCGCCAUAUGUUUACAAACUUACAUCUUUAUUAGUCUUUUUUGUGGUUCAUUUUCUUGAGGUAAAAUCAACAUGUAAUCCUCAACACCCCUUACCUAGUCCAUCUCCAAUCUGCUUUCGGAAGAAAGGUGCCUCAAACUCAAAACUCACACCAUCUACCCCAGACUCAAAACUCACACACCAUCUACCCCAAACUCAAAACUCACACACCAUCUACCCCAAACUCAAAACUCACACACCAUCUACCCCAAACUCAAAACUCACACACCAUCUACCCCAGACUCAAAACUCACACACCAUCUACCCCAAACUCAAAACUCACACACCAUCUACCCCAGACUCAAAACUCACACACCAUCUACCCCAAACUCAAAACUCACACACCAUCUACCCCAAACUCAAAACUCACACACCAUCUACCCCAAACUCAAAACUCACACACCAUCUACCCCAGACUCAAAACUCACACACCAUCUACCCCAAACUCAAAACUCACACACCAUCUACCCCAAACUCAAAACUCACACACCAUAUACCCCAAACUCAAAACUAACACACCAUCUACCCCAAACUCAAAACUCACACACCAUCUACCCCAGACUCAAAACUCACACACCAUCUACCCCAAACUCAAAACUGACACACCAUCUACCCCAAACUCAAAACUCACACACCAUAUACCCCAAACUCAAAACUAACACACCAUCUACCCCAAACUCAAAACUCACACACCAUCUAACCUAACCUAAACUCAAAACUAACACACCAUCUACCCCAAACUCAAAACUCACACACCAUCUACCCCAAACUCAAAACUCACACACCAUCUACCCCAGACUCAAAACUCACACACCAUCUACCCCAAACUCAAAACUCACACACCAUCUACCCCAAACUCAAAACUCACACACCAUAUACCCCAAACUCAAAACUAACACACCAUCUACCCCAAACUCAAAACUCACACCAUCUACCCCAGACUCAAAACUCACACACCAUCUACCCCAAACUCAAAACUGACACACCAUCUACCCCAAACUCAAAACUCACACACCAUAUACCCCAAACUCAAAACUAACACACCAUCUACCCCAAACUCAAAACUCACACACCAUCUAACCUAACCUAAACUCA